AUACUUACCUGGCAGGGGAGAUACCAUGAUCACGAAGGUGGUUUUCCCAGGGCGAGGCUUAUCCAUUGCACUCCGGAUGUGCUGACCCCUGCGAUUUCCCCAAAUGUGGGAAACUCGACUGCAUAAUUUUGGUAGUGGGGGACUGCGUUCGUGCUCUCCCCUG
rnacentral:snRNA from 1 species